rnacentral:tRNA from 1 species
GCAGUUCGGUGGUUCAUUGGUAGAAUGCUCGCCUGCCCCGCGGGCGGCCCGGGUUCGAUUCCCGGCCGAUGCA